AUUGAACGCUGGCGGCAGGCCUAACACAUGCAAGUCGAGCGGAUGAAGGGAGCUUGCUCCUGGAUUCAGCGGCGGACGGGUGAGUAAUGCCUAGGAAUCUGCCUGGUAGUGGGGGAUAACGUCCGGAAACGGGCGCUAAUACCGCAUACGUCCUGAGGGAGAAAGUGGGGGAUCUUCGGACCUCACGCUAUCAGAUGAGCCUAGGUCGGAUUAGCUAGUUGGUGGGGUAAAGGCCUACCAAGGCGACGAUCCGUAACUGGUCUGAGAGGAUGAUCAGUCAAAAUGGAACUGAGACACGGUCCAGACUCCUACGGGAGGCAGCAGUGGGGAAUAUUGGACAAUGGGCGAAAGCCUGAUCCAGCCAUGCCGCGUGUGUGAAGAAGGUCUUCGGAUUGUAAAGCACUUUAAGUUGGGAGGAAGGGCAGUAAGUUAAUACCUUGCUGUUUUGACGUUACCAACAGAAUAAGCACCGGCUAACUUCGUG
rnacentral:rRNA from 1 species